UACGUAGGGUGCAAGCGUUGUCCGGAAUCAUUGGGCGUAAAGCGCGUGUAGGCGGCCAGGUAAGUCCGAUUCGUGAAAGCCCGGGGCUCAACCCCGGGAGGCGGAUGGAUACUGCUUGGCUCGAGUCCGGAAGAGGCGAGUGGAAUUCCCGGUGUAGCGGUGAAAUGCGCAGAUAUCGGGAGGAACACCAAUGGCGAAGGCAGCUCGCUGGACGGUACUGACGCUGAGACGCG
rnacentral:rRNA from 1 species